rnacentral:rRNA from 1 species
UGCCAGCCGCCGCGGUAAUACGGAGGGUCCGAGCGUUAAUCGGAAUUACUGGGCGUAAAGCGCGCGUAGGCGGCUUAGUCAGUCGGAUGUGAAAGCCCUGGGCUUAACCUGGGAACUGCAUUCGAUACUGCUAGGCUAGAGUAUGGUAGAGGUAAGUGGAAUUUCUGGUGUAGCGGUGAAAUGCGUAGAUAUCAGAAGGAACAUCAGUGGCGAAGGCGGCUUCCUGGGCCAAUACUGACGCUGAGGCGCGAAAGCGUGGGUAGCAAACAGGAUUAGAUA